CAGUAGCCGCGGUAAUACGAAGGGUGCAAGCGUUAAUCGGAAUUACUGGGCGUAAAGCGUGCGUAGGCGGUUUGUUAAGUCUGCUGUGAAAUCCCCGGGCUCAACCUGGGAAUGGCAGUGGAUACUGGCAAGCUAGAGUGUGUCAGAGGAUGGUGGAAUUCCCGGUGUAGCGGUGAAAUGCGUAGAGAUCGGGAGGAACAUCAGUGGCGAAGGCGGCCAUCUGGGACAACACUGACGCUGAGGCACGAAAGCGUGGGGAGCAAACAGGAUUAGAUACCCCAGUAGUCCCUGUCUCUUAUAC
rnacentral:rRNA from 1 species